rnacentral:lncRNA from 1 species
AUGAAACCUCCCCUGCCGGGGGCCACCACAGUCCCUCUGCUGAAGCAUCUCACAGAAGGGGGCCAGGUAGCAGCCCAGCCCAGGAUAGCCCUGGUGGGCUGUAAGGGCGAGGCUGGGGGCAGGGGAGGGAGAAGAGGUGAUGCGAGUCAGCCUGAAGGGCCCAGGAACAUUUUAGAGGAGGCGACAUCUGAGACUAAAGGACAAAGAAAACCAGGCCAUGAAGGGGGAGAUAAAGGGAGUCCCAGGGAGCAGGACCAAUGUGAGCAAACCUCCACACAGGGCACGAGAGAACUCAGUGUCCUGGGGAGAGGCAGCAUGUAUGGCCAGAGCAUCUGUGAGAAGAGCAGAUGGUACAGCUGAGGCUGGACAGCGGGCCAGGGCAGAACCCGCCGGACCUUCAGAAUGUAACAUCCUGGUGGUCGGGGAUUUUUGUCAGUUUUGUUCACUGAUGAUCCCGAAGUUCCUAGAAGAGCCCCUGGCAGAACAGUGGAUGUUCGGCAAACGCUCACUUGGGCAGACGGAUGGAGGAAUGGAUGGAUGGAUGGACGGACGGACGGACGGAUGGACUGACGCCUGCCUUUGACCUCUAUUGUGUCUGUGCUACCGUUCAUACUGGCUGCAAUUUCUGAGCGUGGAAAACCUGUGUUCUUUCCCAGCCUGAGGAAACAGCUCUGCAACAGGCUUUUGUGUCCCCAUGGCAGGAGAGAAAGUUUGCAGGCGAAAGGUCACUGCGAGAGACUGGCCGGCAGGCUCUCAGUCAGUUUCAUUUUCUCCCUGGUCACGGUCGAGACUAGAUUUCCCAGACUCCCUGCAGGUAGGUGUGGCCAACUCACUGGUUCCAGCCCAGUGGUUCUCAGCCAGGGCGAUUUUGCCCCCAGGCGACAUCUAGCAAUGCCUGGAGACGUCUUUGGGUGUCACAAUUGGAAGAGAGGAGAGACGGCUGUCAGAAACUAGUGGGCAGAGGCCAGGGAACAACCCGCUCAGGACAGCUCCACAACAAAGAACCCUCCAGCCCAAAAUGUCAGCAGUGCUGAGGGUGAGAAACCCUGUUCUGACCAAUGGAACAUGAGCCCAAGUUCUGGCAACCAGCUCCAGGCCCGACCCAUAAAAGCCACCCAGUACGUCUGCACGGGCUUCUCCAUGCUCUCUCCCCUCUUUGGGCUCAACUAGAUGAGCCGGACACCUGGAUGCUCACGGUGAAUAUGGCAGAGCCCCGAAGAUCGGAAGAGCCCUUGUCCCGGAGUCACCACUUGGAGAAGAGCUGCCUGCCAAUCACCAGCAUGCACUUCGGACUUUGAGUGAGAACAAAGUUCUAACAUGUGGACGUGAUUCCAUGUUUCUGGGUUGGCUUGUUACAGCCAUUGGCACUGGCUUCGCUAACUCAGUCACAGGUACGUUUGUGUCUUUGCUUCAAUAUAUGCUCCAGUGCACGGAGCUUGUUACAAUGCAGGUUCCGAUGCCGUAGGUCUGGGCUACAGUCUGAGUCUGCAUUUCUCAGGGUGCCCACGCUGCUGGUUCUCAGACCACACUUUGAGGAGUCAGCUUCAGAGUUUAAAUGCUCCUGACCCGUCCGCCAUCUGAUUUGAGCUGGCGCAUGCAGGUGGAGGAGCUGGGAACCCUGGGGUCACAGUGAGUCACCUGAGGGCAGGCUGCACCCAGGCA